CAGCGCCACAAGUGGGAACCACAAUUAUUGGGCCUAAAGCGUUCGUAGCCGGUUGUGUAAAUCUUUUGUGAAAUCGUCAGGCUUAACCUGACGGAUUGCAGAAGAGACUGCACAACUAGGGACCGGAAGGGGUCAGGAGUAUUCCAGGGGGAGCGGUAAAAUGUUAUAAUCCUUGGAAGACUACCUGUGGCGAAGGCGCCUGACCAGUACGGGUCCGACGGUGAGGAACGAAAGCUAGGGGAGCGAUCCGGAUUAGAUACCCGAGUAGUCC
rnacentral:rRNA from 1 species